rnacentral:rRNA from 1 species
GACGAACGCUGGCGGCGUGCCUAACACAUGCAAGUCGAACGGAGUUGAAAGAGCUUGCUUUUUCAACUGAGUGGCGGACGGGUGAGUAACGCGUGAGUAACCUGCCUUUCAGAGGGGGAUAACGUUUGGAAACGAACGCUAAUACCGCAUAAGCUGGUAGGGCCGCAUGGUCCAGCCAGAAAAGGAGCAAUCCGCUGAAAGAUGGACUCGCGUCCGAUUAGCUAGUUGGUGGGGUAAAGGCCUACCAAGGCGACGAUCGGUAGCCGGACUGAGAGGUCGAACGGCCACAUUGGGACUGAGACACGGCCCAGACUCCUACGGGAGGCAGCAGUGGGGGAUAUUGCACAAUGGAGGAAACUCUGAUGCAGCAACGCCGCGUGAGGGAAGAAGGUUUUCGGAUUGUAAACCUCUGUCUUCGGUGACGAUAAUGACGGUAGCCGAGGAGGAAGCUCCGGCUAACUACGUGCCAGCAGCCGCGGUAAUACGUAGGGAGCGAGCGUUGUCCGGAAUUACUGGGUGUAAAGGGUGCGUAGGCGGGAAAGCAAGUCAGGCGUGAAAACUAUCGGCUUAACUGGUAGACUGCGUUUGAAACUGUUUUUCUUGAGUGAAGUAGAGGUAGGCGGAAUUCCCGGUGUAGCGGUGGAAUGCGUAGAGAUCGGGAGGAACACCAGUGGCGAAGGCGGCCUACUGGGCUUUAACUGACGCUGAGGCACGAAAGCAUGGGUAGCAAACAGGAUUAGAUACCCUGGUAGUCCAUGCCGUAAACGAUCUUAAGAGGUGUGGGGGGUCUGACCCCUUCCGUGCCGGAGUAACACAAUAA